CUUAUUUGGGGAUAAUCACCAUUUGUUCUCUGUUGGACGACUUGUUUCAAGAUAAUUAGAGCUUCACUUUCAAGACUUGAAACAGCCUCUUCUGUUUUCUCUUGUCCCCGCCAGCCCUAGAGCUGACUCUCACGGGUGCUACAGCGAAGCACGCGAUGUGGGGAGAUGCACGCCAGGCCAAUGCCUUACCAAGAGCUGUCAGAACAACUGCCACGUACACAGCCUUUAACACCGGGCACGAGUGGCCCAGAUGGCAGAUCUUCUAGAGCUUUGUUUCCUGACCUCUGAACCAGGUGGAAGGCAGAAACGGGGAGGAGACAGAGAAACAGUCUUUCUGUGCCACUUUGUCGGUCUUCAAAGAGCUGGAAGCUGCCGCGGAGGUCCAAACCAGUGUCAUCAGAUCGGGACUGAAUCUAAGAAAGUCGUAUGACCUUAGCAAGUUAUCGAACCAGUUACCUACCUCACCAGUUAGUCAGCCAAAUUCACAGCAGUUUAAGAGGCCUCAUCCUCCACCUCUCCCCUGGAAAAUGAAGCAAGGACAGAAUGAGAGCAAGAGGCUGAAGGAACAUGAAAACAUCAGAAAGCAAAUGUAUGUGGCAUGCUAAAUGCUACUAGGAGAGAGGUUUCCCAUUAUUUCUGCUUAUCUUGGUGGAAUCUGUUUUCAUAAUAAAAAAUAUAAUCAAGAAUGAC
rnacentral:lncRNA from 1 species